rnacentral:lncRNA from 1 species
CCGGAGGGGGAAAUCGUCGCCAUCGUCAUCACCAACACUCCUCUCGUCGGUGGGGAGGCAUCUUCAUCAGCACCAUCUCCUCUCCAAUCCCUAGUUCAUCUCUUGUAACCAAUCUUCAUCUCGCAACUCCGAUUGGUACUUGUAAGGUUGCUAGUAGUGUUGAUUACUCUUUGUAGUUGAUGCUAGUUGGAUUACUUGGUGGAAGAGUUUAUGUUCAGAUCCUUGAUGCU